ACAGUCCGCCGAUCCUCCUCCUCCUGCGGGCCUCGCUUCCUUCUUCUCCACUGGACGCUCCACCCGCCCCUUUUCCAGUCCCUGUCCCCAAAUGCAGGGGGUAAAGUACUCAAGAAGAGGGGGCCGGGAAAUGGAAAAACAGCCAGGCACGGGACGAGUGGCAAGCAGUUGCGAAACGAUCCGCACUGGAGCAGGAGGAGUAGAAGCAGAGGGGAGGGAGUCCGAGGGGGCGGAGGUGGAGUGCA
rnacentral:lncRNA from 1 species